UACGGAGGGUGCAAGCGUUAUCCGGAUUCACUGGGUUUAAAGGGUGCGUAGGUGGGUUGGUAAGUCAGUGGUGAAAUCUCCGGGCUUAACCUGGAAGCUGCCAUUGAUACUAUCAGUCUUGAAUAUUGUGGAGGUCAGCGGAAUAUGUCAUGUAGCGGUGAAAUGCUUAGAUAUGACACAGAACACCGAUUGCGAAGGCAGCUCACUAAACUGUAACUGACGCUGAGGCACGAAAGCGUGGGGAGCAAACAGG
rnacentral:rRNA from 1 species